rnacentral:rRNA from 1 species
AUGCAGCUCAUGUUUGAUGGUCAAAUUGUUGACUCUGGUUGUCGGGUCAUUCUCGACUUUGACUCGGUCUCUAUUCUAGACCAUCAUACUGAUGCUCUCCUUGUUGCUGGCCCCCGGCACCGUGACUACCAAGGCCUCUGGGAGCUUGACUGGCUUCACCUUCCCUCCACUGCCACUACCGACAGUCUCUCCCUCUCUGUUGCCUUGUCUACCAGCUCUUUUCAGCAGUGGCAUCAUCGCCUUGGUCACUUGUGUGGCUCUCGUCUCUCAUCCUUGGUUCAACUUGGUCUUCUUGGAUCCUCCGGCGGUGUCUUUAGACUGCUAGGGUUGUCGGCUUGGUAA